rnacentral:rRNA from 1 species
GUGCAGCAGGCGCGAAUCCUCCGCAAUGCUCGAAAGAGCGACGGGGACUCCAAGUGCCUACGCUUUGCGUAGGCUUUUCCCAAGCCUAAAAGACUUGGGGAAUAAGGGCUGGGUAAGACGGGUGCCAGCCGCCGCGGUAAUACCCGCAGCCCGAGUGGUGGCCGCUUUUAUUGGGCCUAAAGCGUCCGUAGCCGGUCUGGUAAAUGCCUGGGUAAAUCGUCUGGCUCAACCAGACGAAUUCCGGGUAGACUGCCAGACUAGGGGACCGGAGGAAGGAGAGGGUACUCCGGGGGUAGGGGUGAAAUCCUGUAAUCCUCGGAGGACCACCGGUGGCGAAGGCGCUCUCCUAGGACGGGUCCGACGGUGAGGGACGAAAGCCAGGGGAGCAAACCGGAUUAGAUACCCGUGUAGU